UCUGGCCUCAAAUUGUUUUUUAAAUUGCUGUGGUAUUUUGACUAUACAAAGGUAUUGUAAUAAGAUUUUAAUUGAAUGCUAAGAGAAUGGAACUUCAGGGAAUGACUUUUUUAAAUUUAAAAAUUAAAAUUAUUUUAAUUUGUGAAGAAACAAUUAUAUAAAUUAAAGACAAGAAGACCCUAAGAAUUUUUAAAUUUAUUUAACAAAAUUUUGUUAAAUAAAUUUUUAGUUGGGGCAACUAAAAAAUAUUAUUAACUUUUUUAAAAUAAAAUGACCCAUUAUUAAUGAUAACAUGAAAAAAAUACUCUAGGGAUAACAGCGUAAUAAUUUUUGAUAGAUCAUAUAGACAAAAUAGUUUGCGACCUCGAUGUUGGAUUAGGAUGCUUUUUUAAUGAAGAUGUUAAAAAAAGAAGUUGGUUCAACUAUCCGAUUCCUACUUGAUCUGAGUUCAGACCCGGA
rnacentral:rRNA from 1 species